UACGUAGGGUGCGAGCGUUGUCCGGCAUUACUGGGCGUCAAGAGCUCGUAGGUGGUUUGUCGCGUUGUUCGUGAAAACUCACAACUCAAUUGUGGGCGUGCGGGCGAUACGGGCAGACUGGAGUACUGCAGGGGAGGCUGGAAUUCCUGGUGUAGCGGUGGAAUGCGCAGAUAUCAGGAGGAACACCGAUGGCGAAGGCAGGUCUCUGGGCCGAUACUGACGCUGAGGAGCGAAAGCGUGGGGAGCGAACAGG
rnacentral:rRNA from 1 species